rnacentral:lncRNA from 1 species
CAGCGGAGAGGCGAACUGCGCAUGCGCGGCACGCCGGGGCAGCGAGCGUCUUUACGGAGAGAGUCGCUCACCCGCUCAUUUCGUCUCCUCAGCGAAGCGCGCCCAGCGGACGAGCGUUUUCAAGAUGGCAGCCCCCAACACAAGCGGCGGCGGCAUGUCUUCGGCGGCACCUCCAAGCGCGGCACAGGUUCGGCUGCAGGCGAAAAGGCCCCGGCGCUGUUUCACUACCGAAGAAGACCUAGCCAUUUUAAGAGAAGUGGCAGCGAGCAAGCCAUUUAACGACGACUUGCAGUGGAUUCAUGUGAUCGAAAACUUGAAACGUGUGCUUCGCCGGGAGCUCACGCUAAGAAGCCUGAAGGACCGUGUCGAUCUUUUAAUCGGUUACUAGAGGCAAGAAGAUACAAGAAACUUAAGAAAGAAUCAGAGGCCUCCAAAGCAUGGGCUUACAGUUGUUGACUAUGCGUCAAACGCAUGAAUUCGAGCUCCGACAAAAGGAACUUGAAGUCGAAACCAGAAAAUUGGACAUUGAAGAGACACGGCUAGCUCUGGAGGAGCGCAAGCUGGCGCUUGCCGAAAGAAAGCACGAACAUGAGGUGACAAGUCGCCAGCAGGAACACCUGGACUUUGUUAAGCGUGUGGAACAGAUGUUUGAUAAACUCAGCCAAGAAGUAACAGACCUAUCAACAAGAAUGUCUGGAAAUAGGUGAAUAAUAAAAAAGUGGUUUGUUGCA